GCCUAUGCAAAUGAGAUCAGCCCCUGAAAUUCUUUUCCACAACUUGCCACACCUUACCACAAGAUGUCAGGGUGGAGCUCAUCCUGACUCUGCUUAUACUAUCAUACCUAAAAUAACCUUGACAACAGAUAAGCAGUUGGUAUACUGAAACCACUGCUUAUUUUGCUGACCCAUAUUGUCUCACUGUUUCUUAGUGCUCCUUCCAGCUGCUAUAUCCACCUGUUAUUUUGUUUUAUAUUUAUAUUUUAAAUGCUUUACUGCAGGAGCAAGCUUUGAUGGGUUUGUAAAGUGGAUUGAAUAAUGGGGACCUGUCCAUUGUAGGCUCCUGGAUACUACUACUGCAAUACAAAUAAUGAGAGUCCUUUAAAGAACUUCUCAGUGACACAGCAGGUGUUGCAAUUUGUUUUUUCUUCACCUUUGUGUUAUAGGGCUGUUGAAUGUGUGUUUGAAUGCGCCUCUAGCGGUGACUCUUGUAGUACUACUUAAUACAGGAAAUACAUGCAUACUACCCAGAAUAGUUUGCAGAAACUGUGGGUACAUCUACACAGCAAAAAGAAGAAGAAAAAACAACCCCACAGAGCCUGUGUCAGCUGACUCAGGUUCACACUAUGUGGCUAAAAAUAGUAGGGUAAACAUUCCAGACAGAGCUGGUACUUGGAGACCCUUCCUCACCAGAUCUCUGAGCCAGCCUCCACCUCAAGCCCAAAUGUCUGCACUGUUAGUUUUACCCUACAGCUCAAGCCCAUGUUAGUUGACACAGGCUCUAGGACUAGUUCCUGUGGUUUUUGUUGCACUUUUUGCUGUGUAGAUGUACCAUUUGUGUGAAUGAGGAAUGAAAAAUAAAGUAUGGUUCAUUGUUAAUAUAAAACCUUAAGCUUAAUGUUUUCUUAUACACAAAAUUCUGACUGUACAAUGUGAUACAAAAGUUGGCAAUGAUGUGGGUGUGACCCUGAGCACCUCAUACUCAUACCCUACACACUGUCAUAAUAAUCUGUACAAAAUAUUUGUUGUGAGGUAUCAUUUGAAAACUAAUAAUUCAUUGUUCGUUAAUAUCCUUGCGGGAUAUAUUUGCGUGGUGUGUAUUAAAAGUUAUGGAUUUCUGCUGAAAAAUGAUUAAACUGUAUUUAAACCAGGCAUGUCGGGAAGUUAGUGAACUGAGGUGAAAUUAGGUCUGCCCUAGACAAAGGAAUGUGUUUGCUUCUCUGACCAGCUCAUGAGGCAAAGACAAUCAAGGUCCAUUUUUACAUAUUAGGUAAGCUAAGCUAACAAGUGGGGGGUGAGACAGCCUGGCAUCUACACCCAGCAGGAGAGAGAUCUUGAUCUGGGUUUUACUUUCCAAAGACUACAUUUCAAAGGUUUACUGGUCUAUAAAGACGGGGUGUUGAAUCUCAAGUGAUAAGCAAUAGAAUCAACUGAUUCUGUAUAAUAUUGCUGUAUUAUAAAAGUGUAUAGAGUGAGGUCUUUUCUGAAAACUAAUGUCACACUAAUGAUUAAUAUCAUUCUCUCACUCCAACGAGAGACUGCUGAAUUGGAAUUAAUUUGCAAACUGGAUACAAU